rnacentral:rRNA from 1 species
GACGAACGCUGGCGGCGCGCCUAACACAUGCAAGUCGAACGAGAGAUGAGGAGCUUGCUCUUCAAAUCGAGUGGCGAACGGGUGAGUAACGCGUGAGGAACCUGCCUCAAAGAGGGGGACAACAGUUGGAAACGACUGCUAAUACCGCAUAAGCCCACGGCUCGGCAUCGAGCAGAGGGAAAAGGAGCAAUCCGCUUUGAGAUGGCCUCGCGUCCGAUUAGCUGGUUGGUGAGGUAACGGCCCACCAAGGCGACGAUCGGUAGCCGGACUGAGAGGUUGAACGGCCACAUUGGGACUGAGACACGGCCCAGACUCCUACGGGAGGCAGCAGUGGGGAAUAUUGCACAAUGGGGGAAACCCUGAUGCAGCGACGCCGCGUGGAGGAAGAAGGUCUUCGGAUUGUAAACUCCUGUUGUUGAGGAAGAUAAUGACGGUACUCAACAAGGAAGUGACGGCUAACUACGUGCCAGCAGCCGCGGUAAAACGUAGGUCACAAGCGUUGUCCGGAAUUACUGGGUGUAAAGGGAGCGCAGGCGGGAGAACAAGUUGGAAGUGAAAUCCAUGGGCUCAACCCAUGAACUGCUUUCAAAACUGUUUUUCUUGAGUAGUGCAGAGGUAGGCGGAAUUCCCGGUGUAGCGGUGGAAUGCGUAGAUAUCGGGAGGAACACCAGUGGCGAAGGCGGCCUACUGGGCACCAACUGACGCUGAGGCUCGAAAGUGUGGGUAGCAAACAGGAUUAGAUACCCUGGUAGUCCACACCGUAAACGAUGAUUACUAGGUGUUGGAGGAUUGACCCCUUCAGUGCCGCAGUUAACACAAUAAGUAAUCCACCUGGGGAGUACGACCGCAAGGUUGAAACUCAAAGGAAUUGACGGGGGCCCGCACAAGCAGUGGAGUAUGUGGUUUAAUUCGACGCAACGCGAAGAACCUUACCAAGUCUUGACAUCCCUUGACGAACAUAGAAAUAUGUUUUCUCUUCGGAGCAAGGAGACAGGUGGUGCAUGGUUGUCGUCAGCUCGUGUCGUGAGAUGUUGGGUUAAGUCCCGCAACGAGCGCAACCCUUAUGGUCAGUUACUACGCAAGAGGACUCUGGCCAGACUGCCGUUGACAAAACGGAGGAAGGUGGGGAUGACGUCAAAUCAUCAUGCCCUUUAUGACUUGGGCUACACACGUACUACAAUGGCGUUAAACAAAGAGAAGCAAGACCGCGAGGUGGAGCAAAACUCAGAAACAACGUCCCAGUUCGGACUGCAGGCUGCAACUCGCCUGCACGAAGUCGGAAUUGCUAGUAAUCGUGGAUCAGCAUGCCACGGUGAAUACGUUCCCGGGCCU